rnacentral:tRNA from 1 species
GCGGGGGUCGCGUAGCCUGGCCAAUCGCGCGAGGCUUAGGACCUCGUCCCGAAGGGGUUCGUGGGUUCAAAUCCCACCCCCCGCA